rnacentral:rRNA from 1 species
UACAGGGGGUGCAAACGUUUGCUCGGAAUCAUUGGGCGUAAAGAGCUCGUAGGCGGUCUGUCACGUCGGCUGUGAAAUCCCGAGGCUCAACCUCGGGUCUGCAGUCGAUACGGGCAAACUAGAGUAUUGCAGGGGGAGACUGGAAUUCCUGGUGUAGCGGUGAAAUGCGCAGAUAUCAGGAGGAACACCGGUGGGCGAAGGCGGGUCUCUGGGCGAAUAACUGACGCUGGAGGAGCGAAAAGCGUGGGGAGCGAACAGG